rnacentral:rRNA from 1 species
GAUGAACGCUGGCGGCGUGCCUAAUACAUGCAAGUCGAGCGAACAGACGAGGAGCUUGCUCCUCUGACGUUAGCGGCGGACGGGUGAGUAACACGUGGAUAACCUACCUAUAAGACUGGGAUAAAUUCGGGAAACCGGAGCUAAUACCGGAUAAUAUAUUGAACCGCAUGGUUCAAUAGUGAAAGACGGUUUUGCUGUCACUUAUAGAUGGAUCCGCGCCGCAUUAGCUAGUUGGUAAGGUAACGGCUUACCAAGGCAACGAUGCGUAGCCGACCUGAGAGGGUGAUCGGCCACACUGGAACUGAGACACGGUCCAGACUCCUACGGGAGGCAGCAGUAGGGAAUCUUCCGCAAUGGGCGAAAGCCUGACGGAGCAACGCCGCGUGAGUGAUGAAGGUCUUCGGAUCGUAAAACUCUGUUAUUAGAGAAGAACAAAUGUGUAAGUAACUAUGCACGUCUUGACGGUACCUAAUCAGAAAGCCACGGCUAACUACGUG